GUUACAGCAGCCGCGGUAAUACAGAGGGGGCGAGCGUUAUUCGGAAUUAUUGGGCGUAAAGGGCGCGUAGGCGGCCGUGUAAGUCUCGGGUGAAAUCCCUCGGCUCAACCGAGGAACUGCCUUGGAUACUGCAUGGCUUGAGGCCGGGAGAGGGUAGUGGAAUUCCCAGUGUAGCGGUGAAAUGCGUAGAUAUUGGGAGGAACACCGGUGGCGAAGGCGGCUACCUGGACCGGUUCUGACGCUGAUGCGCGAAAGCGUGGGGAGCAAACAGGAUUAGAAACCCUUGUAGUCC
rnacentral:rRNA from 1 species